CCUACGGGAGGCAGCAGUGGGGAAUAUUGCACAAUGGGGGAAACCCUGAUGCAGCGAAGCCGCGUGAGUGAAGAAGUAAUUCGUUAUGUAAAGCUCUAUCAGCAGGGAAGAAAAUGACGGUACCUGAGUAAGAAGCCCCGGCUAACUACGUUCCAGCAGCCGCGGUAAUACGGAGGGGGCCAGCGUUAUCCGGAUUUACUGGGUGUAAAGGGAGCGUAGACGGCAGUGCAAGUCUGGAGGGAAAGGCGGUGGCUAAACCCCCGGACUGCUGUGGAAACUGUACGGCUGGAGUUCAGGUGAGGUAAGUGGAAUGCGUGGUGUAGCGGUGAAAUGCGUAGAUAUUAGGAGGAACACCAGUGGCGAAGGCGGCUUACUGGACUGUAACUGACGUUGAGGCACGAAAGCGUGGGGAGCAAACAGGAUUAGAUACCCCAGUAGUC
rnacentral:rRNA from 1 species